UGGGGGCGGCGUGCUUAACACAUGCAAGUCGAACGGGAUCCAUCGGGCUUUGCUUGGUGGUGAGAGUGGCGAACGGGUGAGUAAUGCGUGACCGACCUGCCCCAUACACCGGAAUAGCUCCUGGAAACGGGUGGUAAUGCCGGAUGUUCCAGUUGAUCGCAUGGUCUUCUGGGAAAGCUUUCGCGGUAUGGGAUGGGGUCGCGUCCUAUCAGCUUGACGGCGGGGUAACGGCCCACCGUGGCUUCGACGGGUAGCCGGCCUGAGAGGGCGACCGGCCACAUUGGGACUGAGAUACGGCCCAGACUCCUACGGGAGGCAGCAGUGGGGAAUAUUGCACAAUGGGCGCAAGCCUGAUGCAGCGACGCCGCGUGAGGGAUGGAGGCCUUCGGGUUGUAAACCUCUUUUAUCGGGGAGCAAGCGUGAGUGAGUUUACCCGUUGAAUAAGCACCGGCUAACUACGUGCCAGCAGCCGCGGUAAUACGUAGGGUGCAAGCGUUAUCCGGAAUUAUUGGGCGUAAAGGGCUCGUAGGCGGUUCGUCGCGUCCGGUGUGAAAGUCCAUCGCUUAACGGUGGAUCCGCGCCGGGUACGGGCGGGCUUGAGUGCGGUAGGGGAGACUGGAAUUCCCGGUGUAACGGUGGAAUGUGUAGAUAUCGGGAAGAACACCAAUGGCGAAGGCAGGUCUCUGGGCCGUUACUGACGCUGAGGAGCGAAAGC
rnacentral:rRNA from 1 species